GUUUUAUUUUAUCACGUCUCUCAGUCUGUGUCUCCCACUGGGCUGUGAACUCUACGGCAGAAGAACGACUCCUCAUUUGUUUGCUGGCUACCUGGAACCUCAGACAGGCCUGGCACUCAGAGUGCUCAAGAAAUAUUUUUGGGGGCCGACCCAGUGGUGCAGCAGUUAAGUGCUCACAUUCUGCUUCCCAGUGGCCCAGGGUUCACGGGUUCAGGUCCCGGGUGCGGACACGGCACCGCUUGGCACACCAUGCUGAGGUCUUAGGCCUGCUGGCUUUUGGACGGGGACUAUGCCGUCAGCUCUCCGGUUCCCAGGCCUUCGGACGUGGACUGGAACUACACCAUUGGCUUUUCUGUGUCUCCAGCUUACCAUCUGCAGGGCUGAGUGGCUUGGCAAGGACUCAGACUGAGAACUGGCUCCUACUUUAGACUGGCGCAGGCACUGAAGAGAUGAAGAAGCCAUCUGUGGCAGGGAAAUCUGGGAGCGGUGACAGGUGGAAAAGGCACAGUCUUGGGAGACUUGGGGACCGGUGAAAGGUGAAUGUCCAGAUAGCCAUGGUAACCAUCUGGCCUGCUGGACUGCUUCUUGAGUGCAGGACCAUGUCUGAUUCAAGUCUACAUCCAGAGCACAUAGAGCAAGUUCUGGGACAUAAAAUAAAAAAGAGUCGCUCAAGAGAGAAUCCAUCCAUCCAUCAGUUGAAUGCCUUCACAGUCCGUCAAAGAACUCUUGCUGACUGAUCAUGCUAUUGCUCUCUCUGCCAAUGGAAUUGCAACUGCUUCCUAGUCCCCUAAUCACCGUCUAUUCCUUAACCACCCCCUAUAGGACAGGACCACUAUUCUGGGAGGUCUUUCAGACUUAUCUAGAACGUGGCAUGUUUCCUGACAUCCAUACCAACAUUUAGGUCUGGGCUCUGCUUCUAACUCAUUGUCUGUGAUGGCACGUCUUUAGGUCUUGUAGCGCCGUUUUUAAAAAGGAACAGUUUUGCAAUAUGAUUUCUGAAGUCUCUUCUAACCCGAGUGUGCUAGAAUUUUCUGUCUGGAAUCUAGAAUUUCUGGUAAAGAUGAGACAGACUUAUUCGAGGCCUUCAUAUCGGCAUCAUAUGGCCUGUUGGUUGGAGCCUGGAUGAUGAGCCACUGUAGUCUGGGCUUUUCCUGAGGUCUGCCUUGCUGGUGGCAGAGUUUCUUUAACAGUCGUGCUCCAGCAGGCUCUGGCCACCCCCACGGGCAACUCAGUGAAUACUGGCUGCCUGAUGGAUGUGUUAGAUGGGAAGCCAACUGGAUGAAGGAUGCGUGAGGAGCCCUGGAAAACACAGUGGUUCAAAGGGGAGGGCUGCGCCGAGCAGGUUCCCAAAUGUGCUUACCCGCCCAGGCUCUGAACGCGAGCUCCGUUGGAAAAACACGUGUUUCUGACUCCAAGGGAAAGGCUCUAGGAAUAAUAAUAAUAAAAGGGGCUUUGAAAGCUUCUUGGAAAUCAGCUUCUAUAAAAUAGUGUUUUGAGAAAUUGAGCGCAAGUCAAGCAGAAACAUGGAUUGAAAUUCUCCCUUCGCAUACUCAUUCUUUUAAAAUAUUUUAUUUUUAAAUAUGAAAAUAAUCUGUGCAUAUGGCUAAAGAAUCCAAACAGUAAAGAAAAGCACAGAAUUCAAAGCAAAAAUCUCCCUUCCUUCCUCUCUUUUCAUGUCUCAUGAGGUAACAGUUUAUUUCUGUUUUGUGUGCGAUUACUAUGUGAGUUUAUAAAAAUUAAAAAAAAUUAUUGUGGUAAAAUAUGCAUAACAUAAAAUUUACCAUUUUAACCAUUUUUGAGUGUAUAUAGUUCAUUGGCAUUAAGUACAUUCACAUUGUUGUGCAACC
ensembl:lncRNA